GACGAACGCUGGCGGCGUGCUUAACACAUGCAAGUCGAACGGAAAGGCCCUGCUUUUGUGGGGUGCUCGAGUGGCGAACGGGUGAGUAACACGUGAGUAACCUGCCCUUGACUUUGGGAUAACUUCAGGAAACUGGGGCUAAUACCGGAUAGGAGCUCCUGCUGCAUGGUGGGGGUUGGAAAGUUUCGGCGGUUGGGGAUGGACUCGCGGCUUAUCAGCUUGUUGGUGGGGUAGUGGCUUACCAAGGCUUUGACGGGUAGCCGGCCUGAGAGGGUGACCGGCCAAAUUGGGACUGAAAUACGGCCCAGACUCCUACGGGAGGCAGCAGUGGGGAAUAUUGCACAAUGGGCGGAAGCCUGAUGCAGCAACGCCGCGUGCGGGAUGACGACCUUCGGGUUGUAAACCGCUUUCGCCUGUGACGAAGCGUGAGUGACGGUAAUGGGUAAAGAAGCACCGGCUAACUACGUG
rnacentral:rRNA from 1 species